rnacentral:sRNA from 1 species
CAGUGCUAGGGGCUGAACCGCAGGGAAGGGGGUGCGGCGCACGCAGUAUGGCGCCCAACAUCUACUUGGUUCGCCAGCGGAUCAGUCGACUCGGCCAGAGGAUGUCUGGCUUCCAGAUCAACCUUAACCCGCUCAAGGAGCCACUCGGUUUCAUCAAGGUCCUCGAGUGGGUGAGUGCAGCCCGCGCCGGCCAGGCCCGCCUGCCGCUCGGCGCGGCGCCCUAGGCGGGGAGACGGGGACCUGCGAGCCGGGACGCAGCCCUGCCGCGCGGGCUUUGAGGCCGCCGCCCCGGGACUGGGAGUGGACGGCAGGGAGGCCGCGGCCUGGGCCGCGCGGGGCGGAGACGCCGCGGCGGGCGUCGAAUCACGAGCUCCUCGGCCGCCUGGCUCCCAGGGGAGCCACCCUCCCACACCGGAGCUCCCCUCUGGGUGCCCCCGUGGAGUGGGAGUUCAAAUUUACCCUUGGCUCC